rnacentral:ncRNA from 1 species
CAAGGAGUCUAACAUAUGUGCAAGUUAUUGGGAUGUAAACCUAAUAGCGUAAUUAACUUGACUAAUAAUGGGAUUAGUUUUUUAGCUAUUUAUAGCUAAUUAACACAAUCCCGGGGCGUUCUAUAUAGUUAUGUAUAAUGUAUAUUUAUAUUAUUUAUGCCUCUAACUGGAACGUACCUUGAGCAUAUAUGCUGUGACCCGAAAGAUGGUGAACUAUACUUGAUCAGGUUGAAGUCAGGGGAAACCCUGAUGGAAGACCGAAACAGUUCUGACGUGCAAAUCGAUUGUCAGAAUUGAGUAUAGGGGCGAAAGACCAAUCGAACCAUCUAGUAGCUGGUUCCUUCCGAAGUUUCCCUCAUGAUAGCUGGUGCAUUUUAAUAUUAUAUAAAAUAAUCUUAUCUGGUAAAGCGAAUGAUUAGAGGCCUUAGGGUCGAAACGAUCUUAAGCUAUUCUCAAACUUUAAAUGAGUAAGAACGAAAACUUUCUCAAUAUGACGUACAAGGUGCGGAUAUAAGGGCAACAGUGGGCCACUUUUGGUAAGCAGAACCGGCGCUGUGGGAUGAAGCAAACGUAGUGUUACGAAACCCAAAUUAUCGUUGGUCACCUUCUGGAAUUCCAGUUCGCCUGGUAGUUUAAACCGAAAAAUCUCUCAAUUUGGCCUACAAAAUGCGCAUUUUUGUGCAAAAUUUUUGGAUCUUUCGAUUUUAGAUACCAGGCGAUGAUAAUCAGUAGCGGGUGUCUACAGAAAACCAACUAAUCGUUGGUCACCUUCGGGAAUUCUUG